rnacentral:rRNA from 1 species
UCGGGAAUAUUGGGCAAUGGGAGGGGAACUCUGACCCAGCAAUACCGCGUGAAGGAAGAAGGUUUUCGGAUUGUAAACUUCUGUUAUAAAGGAAGAAACAAAUGACGGUACUUUAUAAGUAAGCCCGGCAACUAUGUGCCAGCAGCCGCGGUGAUACAUAGGGGGCAAGCGUUGUCCGGAAUGACUGGGUGUAAAGGGUGUGUAGGUGGUUAAUUAAGUUAGAAGUGAAAGCCCGGGGCUUAACUCCGGAACUGCUUUAAACUGGUUGGCUUGAGUGUGGGAGAGGUUAGUGGAACUCCUAGUGUAGCGGUGGAAUGCGUAGAUAUUAGGAAGAACAUCAGAGGCGAAGGCGACUAACUGGAACAUUACUGACACUGAAACACGAAAGGGUGGGGAGCAAACAGGAUUAGAUACCCUGGUAGU